GAGUUUGAUCGUGGCUCAGGACGAACGCUGGCGGCGUGCUUAACACAUGCAAGUCGAACGGAAAGGCCCUGCUUUUGUGGGGUGCUCGAGUGGCGAACGGGUGAGUAACACGUGAGUAACCUGCCCUUGACUUUGGGAUAACUUCAGGAAACUGGGGCUAAUACCGGAUAGGAGCUCCUGCUGCAUGGUGGGGGUUGGAAAGUUUCGGCGGUUGGGGAUGGACUCGCGGCUUAUCAGCUUGUUGGUGGGGUAGUGGCUUACCAAGGCUUUGACGGGUAGCCGGCCUGAGAGGGUGACCGGCCACAUUGGGACUGAGAUACGGCCCAGACUCCUACGGGAGGCAGCAGUGGGGAAUAUUGCACAAUGGGCGGAAGCCUGAUGCAGCAACGCCGCGUGCGGGAUGACGG
rnacentral:rRNA from 1 species